AACGAACGCUGGCGGCAUGCCUAACACAUGCAAGUCGAACGAGACCUUCGGGUCUAGUGGCGCACGGGUGCGUAACACGUGGGAACCUGCCCUUAGGUUCGGAAUAACUCCCCGAAAGGGGUGCUAAUACCGGAUAAUGUCUUCGGACCAAAGAUUUAUCGCCUUUGGAUGGGCCCGCGUUGGAUUAGCUAGUUGGUAGGGUAAAAGCCUACCAAGGCGACGAUCCAUAGCUGGUCUGAGAGGAUGAUCAGCCACACUGGGACUGAGACACGGCCCAGACUCCUACGGGAGGCAGCAGUGGGGAAUAUUGGACAAUGGGCGAAAGCCUGAUCCAGCAAUGCCGCGUGAGUGAUGAAGGCCUUAGGGUUGUAAAGCUCCUUUACCCGGGAUGAUAAUGACAGUACCGGGAGAAUAAGCUCCGGCUAACUCCGUG
rnacentral:rRNA from 1 species